rnacentral:rRNA from 1 species
AUUAAGAUGAAGUUUUCGGAUGGAAUCUUGAUUGACUGAGUGGCGGACGGGUGAGUAACGCGUGGAUAACCUGCCUCACACUGGGGGAUAACAGUUAGAAAUGACUGCUAAUACCGCAUAAGCGCACAGUGCCGCAUGGCAGUGUGUGAAAAACUCCGGUGGUGUGAGAUGGAUCCGCGUCUGAUUAGCCAGUUGGCGGGGUAACGGCCCACCAAAGCGACGAUCAGUAGCCGACCUGAGAGGGUGACCGGCCACAUUGGGACUGAGACACGGCCCAAACUCCUACGGGAGGCAGCAGUGGGGAAUAUUGCACAAUGGGCGAAAGCCUGAUGCAGCGACGCCGCGUGAGUGAAGAAGUAUUUCGGUAUGUAAAGCUCUAUCAGCAGGGAAGAAAAUGACGGUACCUGACUAAGAAGCCCCGGCUAACUACGUGCCAGCAGCCGCGGUAAUACGUAGGGGGCAAGCGUUAUCCGGAUUUACUGGGUGUAAAGGGAGCGUAGACGGCGAAGCAAGUCUGAAGUGAAAACCCAGGGCUCAACCCUGGGACUGCUUUGGAAACUGUUUUGCUAGAGUGUCGGAGAGGUAAGUGGAAUUCCUAGUGUAGCGGUGAAAUGCGUAGAUAUUAGGAGGAACACCAGUGGCGAAGGCGGCUUACUGGACGAUAACUGACGUUGAGGCUCGAAAGCGUGGGGAGCAAACAG